AACGCACCUUGCGCUCCUUGGUAUUCCGAGGAGCAUGCCUGUUUGAGUGUCAUGUAUUACCUCAGCCCUCUUGGAUUUUUCUAAAAUACAAGGUAUGGGUCUGGAUUUGGAGGUUGCUGGGUCAGUUUCUGAACCAGCUCUUCUUAAAUUGAUCAGUGUGAAUGUUGCUAAAUGUUCUCCAGUGUAAUAAUUAUUUGCGCUGCUUGAGCUUUGGCAAAACAAUAUGUUCAUGCUUCUAACCGUCCUUCAAAGGACAAUAUAUCUUUUGCAUUUGACCUCAAAUCAGGUAGGACUACCCGCUGAACUUAA
rnacentral:misc_RNA from 1 species